rnacentral:rRNA from 1 species
AGUGAACGCUGGCGGCAGGCCUAACACAUGCAAGCCGAACGGCAGCACAGUGGUAGCAAUACCAUGGGUGGCGGGUGGCGGACGGGUGAGGAAUACAUCGGAAUCUACCUUGUCGUGGGGGAUAACGUAGGGAAACUUACGCUAAUACCGCAUACGACCUUCGGGUGAAAGCAGGGGACCUUCGGGCCUUGCGCGAUUAGAUGAGCCGAUGUCGGAUUAGCUAGUUGGCGGGGUAAAGGCCCACCAAGGCGACGAUCCGUAGCUGGUCUGAGAGGAUGAUCAGCCACACUGGAACUGAGACACGGUCCAGACUCCUACGGGGGGCAGCAGUGGGGAAUAUUGGACAAUGGGCGCAAGCCUGAUCCAGCCAUGCCGCGUGGGUGAAGAAGGCCUUUGGGUUGUAAAGCCCUUUUGUUGGGAAAGAAAAGUAGUCGGCUAAUACCCGAUUGUUCUGACGGUACCCAAAGAAUAAGCACCGGCUAACUUCGUGCCAGCCGCCGCCGUAAUAC